rnacentral:rRNA from 1 species
AGAGUUUGAUCCUGGCUCAGGAUAAACGCUGGCGGCGCACAUAAGACAUGCAAGUCGAACGGACAGAAUCCAAUCUAUAAGAUAGGAGGAAGUUAGUGGCGGACUGGUGAGUAACACAUAAGCAACCUAGCUAUUAGAGGGGAACAACAGUUAGAAAUGACUGCUAAUACCGCAUAUGCCAAGAGUAUUGCAUGAUACAAUUGGGAAAGGAGAAAUCCGCUAAUAGAUGGGCUUACGGCUGAUUAGCUAGUUGGUAAGGUAAAGGCUUACCAAGGCGACGAUCAGUAGCCGGACUGAGAGGUUGGACGGCCACAUUGGGACUGAGAUACGGCCCAGACUCCUACGGGAGGCAGCAGUCGGGAAUUUUGCGCAAUGGAGGGAACUCUGACGCAGUGACGCCGCGUGCAGGAAGAAGGUUUUCGGAUUGUAAACUGCUUUAGACAGGGAAGAAGAAAGACAGUACCUGUAGAAUAAGCUCCGGCUAACUACGUGCCAGCAGCCGCGGUAAUACGUAGGGAGCGAGCGUUAUCCGGAUUUAUUGGGUGUAAAGGGUGCGUAGACGGGAAAAUAAGUUAGUUGUGAAAGCCCUCUGCUUAACGGAGGAACUGCAACUAAAACUGUUAUUCUUGAGUACUGGAGAGGAAAGUGGAAUUCCUAGUGUAGCGGUGAAAUGCGUAGAUAUUAGGAGGAACACCAGUGGCGAAGGCGACUUUCUGGACAGAAACUGACGUUGAGGCACGAAAGUGUGGGGAGCAAACAGGAUUAGAUACCCUGGUAGUCCACACUGUAAACGAUGGAUA